rnacentral:rRNA from 8 species
UAACGACUCUCGGCAACGGAUAUCUCGGCUCUCGCAUCGAUGAAGAACGUAGCAAAAUGCGAUACGUGGUGUGAAUUGCAGGAUCCCGUGAACCAUCGAGUUUUUGAACGCAAGUUGCGCCCGAAGCCUUUAGGCCGAGGGCACGUCUGCCUGGGCGUCACGC